CGAUCCCCAAUUUAUUUCCACCAAGCUAACGCCUGCAUCAAUGUCAAGCUCUCGAUCCCCGGCGGCGGCGGCGGCGGCGGCGGCUGCGGCUGCUGCUGCUACCAGUUCCACCAGCGCGGAUCUUCAACACGCCGACGCAAGCGUCCCUCUCGUAGACAACGGCGCGAAGACGUCGUAGGCUUCAGGGGGAGGAUUCCCCCUGGGCAACGACGGUGGCGAUGGUGGUGGCCGCAUCGGCGGCUGCACUCAUCUUCUCGUCCUCGGCUGGUGGGUGAGUUGCAGCACUGAUUUCGCGUUGAGCCAUUUCCUGAUCGUGGAGAUCUGUUUAUCUAUGCUUACGAUCGCUUCCACGGUGUGAAUUUAUGGUUGUAUUACAAUUCGAUUUGGGGGCUGGAUCGAUAGAUCAAUGAGCAUGUCUUGCUAAAUCUGGUUCUUGGUUAAUUAACCUGUGCACUAUUAGGGUUUACAUCGAUGCAAUAUUAGGCAACACAUCGCUACUUUUCGUACGUGCCCUCUGGUCAUCGCUAUCUUAUAACAACACGAGCUACAAAUGCAGCUGGUUAGUUUUGUAACUCUGCAGCUCCACGUUGCAGUGCAGGAGAUUGGUGAGCCUUAUCUAAAUAUAUUGUGUGCACGACAUAUAAACAUGUUUGAAAUGUUGUUAUUUCUCGUGUUUCAUACAUCAACGUAAUGCCAUAAUUUCUGAUGAUCACAAAUGGACUCCGACCAUUGUUGGUUUCUGUAUCAGCCUAUUAGGGCAAUGGGCUUCUAUCCUGCCGUUAUCUUCAGAGAGCAGUGCACCUCAGUACUUCUCGUACGAUGGAUAUUAGGGUACAAGCAAAAAUAUAGAAAUGCCGAGUGGAAAGGGUUAGAUGUGUUCAAUAGUGUUAUAAUUGGAAAAUCUGGGGAAACUAUUAUGUAUCUCCAAUUUCAGUCAGGAGCAAAGAUUGAAGUAACAAGAGACAAUUGAGCUGAACCUGGUGCAUAUACAAGACAAGUUGAGCUUUUGGCCACUCCUGAGCAGAUAAGCAAACUGAGCAGUUGAUCAAAGCCGUUCAUAGAUAUUUACGGGUUUUUUUGCAUCCAUCAUAUUGGUAUUGCAAAGCUUCUGCAGGCUGAUGCUGGGCCAUCUGGUACUGGAUCUCUUGGCCGCAAGCAUAGUGCACCACAGCCAGUCCGACCACCAUCCCCAGUGGCCCAGCGGCUACCAGCUCCAACACAAGCGAUUUAUUUGUUCGAAGGAAGGUUGGAGGCAGGGGAAACACAAAUGGAAUAACAUGCCUAUGAGGUGUGGGUGUAAUUCCAUGAUUGAUUUCAGGAAGAAUGAUGAUGUUACAUAUCAGGUUGUUCAGUUUUUUGAAGCACACAGACAUGAGCAACCGAACCAUGCAAGAGAUAGCAGGCCAUCAUGGAACAGUACAGAGCUAGAUGCCUACAUCAUUGUCGAAGUGUGGCACUCAGUGCUGUGUAAUAUUAGUGCUACCAUGAUCAUGUGUGGUGUGUGUAACCUAUUCUUUAAAUGCGUAGUUGAUAAAAUUAGCUGGUAGCUAGAAUCCGUGUACAUGCCUGAUCAUCUGCAUUAUGUGCUGUGCAAGUUGUAAUCACCAUGUGCAGUAUUAUUCAUCUAGUAUCUUGUGAACAACUUUACCUAUUUGAAUGAUUUAUGAGAGUCCAAAUAAUUGAGAAUGUA